rnacentral:rRNA from 1 species
AACGAACGCUGGCGGCAGGCUUAACACAUGCAAGUCGAGCGCCCCGCAAGGGGAGCGGCAGACGGGUGAGUAACGCGUGGGAAUCUACCGUGCCCUACGGAAUAGCUCCGGGAAACUGGAAUUAAUACCGUAUACGCCCUACGGGGGAAAGAUUUAUCGGGGUAUGAUGAGCCCGCGUUGGAUUAGCUAGUUGGUGGGGUAAAGGCCUACCAAGGCGACGAUCCAUAGCUGGUCUGAGAGGAUGAUCAGCCACAUUGGGACUGAGACACGGCCCAAACUCCUACGGGAGGCAGCAGUGGGGAAUAUUGGACAAUGGGCGCAAGCCUGAUCCAGCCAUGCCGCGUGAGUGAUGAAGGUCUUAGGAUUGUAAAGCUCUUUCACCGGUGAAGAUAAUGACGGUAACCGGGGAGGAAGCCCCGGCUAACUUCGUGCCAGCCGCCGCGGUAAUAC